UAUGAGAAAUUUGGGUGGAACCUAUUAUCAGGAUGGUAGACUGGGCUGAAUGAAUUGGGAGUGGGCUUCUUGAAGGCACUAUAUGAGUUUAGAACAUUUGCCUGCUCAGCCUUAAUGUUGGGUAAACUAGGACAACAUUCCACUAAAUGCUCAGAACUGUUACACAAGAUACAUAAGUCAUGUGGCUCGUGUUCCAUUUUCAUGAU
rnacentral:lncRNA from 1 species